AUCCAGCUGAGGAGUCCCAAACAGGACGAACCGCGUGUCAAUCUGGAU
rnacentral:hammerhead_ribozyme from 1 species